GGACUACUCGGGUAUCUAAUCCUGUUCGCUCCCCACGCUUUCGCGCCUCAGUGUCAGUAAAGAGCCAGAAAGUCGCCUUCGCCACUGGUGUUCCUUCCGAUAUCUACGCAUUUCACCGCUACACCGGAAAUUCCACUUUCCUCUCUCUCACUCUAGAUAUUCAGUCUUAUAGGCCAUUCCUAGGUUGAGCCCAGGGAUUUCACCUAUAACUUAAUUACCCACCUACGCGCCCUUUACGCCCAGUAAUUCCGAUUAACGCUCGCACCCUCUGUAUUACCGCGGCUGCUGGCAC
rnacentral:rRNA from 1 species